UCAAAAUCUACGAAGAGACAUGGCAGAAGAAAUUCUCAAAGGAUCAGUUUCAAAGGAUGACUUCUGUUCCUUCUGUGGAAUUGAGGACCUGCCCACAACUGCUGUUGAUGCUGUUUGGAUUCAGUGUGAAACUUGUGGAAGAUGGUUUCACACGCAGUGCCUCGGAAUGACUGCUGCACUAAUACCAACAAAAGAUACCCUGUGGUAUUGUGUGUUGUGUAUCAUCCCUAACUAAAGAGGCUAUGUAAGAGUUUGUGUAACUUUUACCAGAGGUACCAGGAUUUGGGGAGGUAAGGCUUGUUAGAACUACUACCACAAUAGAACUAGUGCGCUUAUAAACGGCAUGUGGGGGAAAAUCCAGCCCAGCCAGUGAUUUUAAAUCGGCAAAAUGAAAGCUGAAUUUUGUACAAAACAAACAAAAAUCCAGAAAAAAGCUUUGCUAAAGAUUUUGCGCAACUGAAGUAAUGAUUAAUAAUCACCUGUCCAUAGUUUUAAAUUAUUAUAAAACUUAAUUAAGAUGUUAAAUAUAUUUUCCCUUACAGAUUAAAUUAGUCACAG